AUGAACAACCUUGUUUCACAGGCGCAAAGUGCUUUCAUCAAACGACGAUGUAUACAUGAUAACUUCACGUAUGUGCGCAAUCUUGCGAGGCGUCUCCACCGAAACAAAACACCGGCGUUGCUUUUCAAGUUGGAUAUCAAGAAAGCCUUCGACUCUGUUCGCUGGGACUAUCUCCUCGACCUUCUCAAACACCUUGGAGUCCCUCCGCGCUUUCGUGGUUGGGUCUCGACUCUUUUAGCUUCGGCAUCUUCGCGAGUCUUGCUCAACGGUAUUCCGGGCAACCCUAUCAAGCUUGGGAAGGGCUUGAGGCAAGGAGAUCCUCUACCCCCCUUCUUUUUGUUCUGGCGAUCGAUCCUUUGCACCAUAUUCUCAAGAAGGCUACUGCCCAAGGAAAGCUGCACCCUCUUGGUAACGCCAUGA
rnacentral:rRNA from 1 species